rnacentral:lncRNA from 1 species
CUCCUUUUUAGCCUUGUCCUUCAUGACUUUGAGUAUUUCGAUGUUAGCUUUGUGCUUCCUCACCUCCGCCAAAACCUCACGAUAGUGCUCCAUAUACCCAUUCAGAAAAUGGGCGAGCUAUUGAAGAAAGAAAGCCUUUUAGCAAUAAUAUCAUAAGCAUAUGCUUAGAAUAAAUAAAACAUCGUAGGAGCUUCAGCUUACCUGGAUGAAGCACUCCAUAGCUUUUUUCCUUAUUGCCCCACAUGAUGAGGCCAGCUACUUUUUUGUGUCGGUCGGAAGGAGC